AUACUUAUCUGGCAGGGGAUAUACCAUGACCAUGAAGGUGGUUCCCAGGGUGAGGCUCAUCCAUUGCACUCUGGUUGUGUUGACCCCUGUGAUUUCCCCAAAUGCAGAAUUUGUAGUAGUGAGGGACUAUGUGGUUUCCCCUGU
rnacentral:snRNA from 1 species